rnacentral:rRNA from 1 species
UACGUAGGUGACAAGCGUUGUCCGGAUUUACUGGGCGUAAAGAGCGCGCAGGCGGUCGUUCAAGUCGCGUGUGAAAGCCCCCGGCUCAACUGGGGAGGGUCAUUCGAUACUGUCCGACUCGAAGGCAGGAGAGGGAAGCGGAAUUCCCGGUGUAGCGGUGAAAUGCGUAGAUAUCGGGAGGAACAUCAGUGGCGAAGGCGGCUACCUGGCCCAAUACUGACACUCAGGUGCGACAGCGUGGGGAGCAAACAGG